GAUGAAGAACGCAGCGAAAUGCGAUACUUGGUGUGAAUUGCAGAAUCCCGUGAACCAUCGAGUCUUUGAACGCAAGUUGCGCCCGAAGCCAUCAGGUUGAGGGCACGUCUGCCUGGGCGUCACAUAUCGUUGCCCAAUGCCUAUUGCAGUGCAAUAGGAAUUUCUAGGGCGAAUGAUGGCUUCCCGUGAGCGUUGUUGCCUCGCGGUUGGUUGAAAAUCGAGUCCUUGGUAGGGUGUGCCAUGGUAGAUGGUGGUCGAGUUAGAACGAUACCGAUCAUGUGCAUGCUCCCCAAAAUAUGGCCUCUAUGACCCACACGCGUCUUUUGACGCUCAUGACGAGACCUCAGGUCAGGCGAGGCUACCCGCUGAAUUUAAGCAUAUCAAUAAGCGGAGGA
rnacentral:misc_RNA from 1 species